CAUGCAUCUGUUUUCUUAAAGUGUUUUGCUACUCCUGAGUUUCCACAUCCAAAGUUUUUUAUGAAUUAACUUGAUCUUCAGACAAAUUGUCUGCCUCAUUGUUAUUUAGGACUUCUCAGAUCUCUUUCCUUUUUCCUCUUUUUUUUUUUUUUUUUUUCUUCCAGGAGGAUACAGAACUUCACCCUUUCUCUCUCUGGCUUCAUUCCCAAAAUUCAGAAUUGUAUUCAUUUUAUGGGAACCACUGGCUCACUAACCUGCACCAACCUCAAGAUCUCUAUUUCUUUAUCCAAAAAUAAAUUAAGGUAUUGUGAUAACAAAAAGGCCAACUAGGUCAGGCCUCAAAGCAUUUAGUUGUUCAAAAGAACUAGCAGAGCUUUUAACAUUUCGUUCUUUCCUUGACAAGAGCCAAUGUUAAAUAUGGGUUUUCUUUCCCUUUAUCUCUAUAAAAUGUAUUCUUUAUUUUAGAAGAACUUCCA
rnacentral:lncRNA from 10 species